rnacentral:lncRNA from 1 species
ACAUGAGAACCACAUAAUGGCAUGGUAUGAGGGUCACUAAGCAAGACUCGAGGCUUGGGAGAGGUUGAGUGAAGGUUUAGCUAAGGUAGUACCUAGGGUCCCUUAAGGUAGUACCUAAAGGCCAUUAAGGUAGUACCUAAAGGCCAUUAAGGUAGUACUUAAGGGCUCUUAAGGUAGUACCUAAGGUAUAGUCCCAAAAAACCAUAGGUGGACCACUUGUUCACACAUGAGAACCACAUAAUGGCAUGAUAUGAGGGUCACUAAGCAAGACCCGAGGCUUGGGAGAGGUUGAAUUAAGGUUUAGCUAAGGUAGUACCUAGGGUCCCUUAAGAUAGUAC